UCAUUAUCUUAAACAAAACUUUUUACAAACCCGUUUAAUAUAAAGCACAGGGUCUUGUGAAACAUUGAACCGGGCCUGAGAGUAUGUAACAGCAGCAUAACUAUAAGCUCUCUAAGAUUUUAGUCUUUUAGUCAUUAACAUUGAGUUGGGAUCUUUCUUUCUUUUCUUUUUUGUAAGAGAGGGAUCUUUCUUUUCAUGCAACCUAUGUAUCAUCUUCUUCGUUUCUCUUUAGCUUAGGGAUUUUUUAAGAUCCAUCAUCUUCGUUUCUUUUUAGCCUAGCUAGGGAUGUGAUUUGUAUUCUUUUUUGGUGUGGUGGGAUCAUCUUUUUCAUGCAACCUAUGUGUCAUCAAAUAAAGCUUAUCUUUUUCACCUUAAAAUUCAACAUCACUGUCUACAUAAUAUAUACUAUUUUCUUACUUGUGUUAGAUUGCUGCCAAGGUCCCUCUUCAGAUCCAAAUACAAGUAGAAUUGUAACAAGAACAUAAAAGCUGACGAGAUUUGUUUGGUAGUUUGGACUACCUAUUUCUAUGUUUUUCAUUGACUUAAAUAAGAAACAACAAGUAACUGGAGUCAUGGACUCAUUACAAAAGGGAAUAUGGAAAGUGGAGUUU
rnacentral:lncRNA from 1 species